AAGGAAUAUUGGACAAUGGGCGAAAGCCUGAUCCAGCCAUGCCGCGUGAAGGAUUAAGGUCCUCUGGAUUGUAAACUUCUUUUAUCUGGGACGAAAAAAUGGAAUUCUUUCCACAUUGACGGUACCAGAUGAAUAAGCACCGGCUAACUCCGUGCCAGCAGCCGCGGUAAUACGGAGGGUGCAAGCGUUAUCCGGAUUCACUGGGUUUAAAGGGUGCGUAGGCGGGUAGGUAAGUCAGUGGUGAAAUCUCGGAGCUUAACUCCGAAACUGCCAUUGAUACUAUCUAUCUUGAAUAUUGUGGAGGUUUGCGGAAUAUGUCAUGUAGCGGUGAAAUGCUUAGAUAUGACAUAGAACACCUAUUGCGAAGGCAGCAGGCUACACAUAUAUUGACGCUCAGGCACGAAAGCGUGGGGAUCAAACAGGA
rnacentral:rRNA from 1 species